rnacentral:rRNA from 1 species
UACGAAGGGUGCAAACGUUGCUCGGAAUCAUUGGGCGUAAAGCGCACGUAAGCGGCUUCGCAAGUCGGAUGUGAAAUCCCUCGGCUCAACCGAGGACGUGCAUCCGAAACUGCGGAGCUUGAGUACUGAAGAGGAUCGCGGAAUUCCCGGUGUAGAGGUGAAAUUCGUAGAUAUCGGGAGGAACACCAGUGGCGAAGGCGGCGAUCUGGGCAGAUACUGACGCUGAGGUGCGAAAGCGUGGGGAGCAAACAGG